GAGUUUGAUUCUGGCUCAGAUUGAACGCUGGCGGCAUGCUUUACACAUGCAAGUCGAACGGCAGCACGGAAGAGCUUGCUCUUUUGGUGGCGAGUGGCGAACGGGUGAGUAAUACAUCGGAACGUACCGAGUAGUGGGGGAUAACUGUCCGAAAGGAUGGCUAAUACCGCAUAUUCUCUGAGGAGGAAAGCAGGGGACCUUCGGGCCUUGCGCUAUUUGAGCGGCCGAUGUCUGAUUAGUUAGUUGGUGGGGUAAAGGCCUACCAAGGCGACGAUCAGUAGCGGGUCUGAGAGGAUGAUCCGCCACACUGGGACUGAGACACGGCCCAGACUCCUACGGGAGGCAGCAGUGGGGAAUUUUGGACAAUGGGGGGAACCCUGAUCCAGCCAUGCCGCGUGUCUGAAGAAGGCCUUCGGGUUGUAAAGGACUUUUGUCAGGGAAGAAAAGCUUGAGGUUAAUACCCUUGAGUGAUGACG
rnacentral:rRNA from 1 species